GUCCACGCCGUAAACGAUGGAUGCUAGCCGUUGGUGGGUUUACCCUUCAGUGGCGCAGCUAACGCAUUAAGCAUCCCGCCUGGGGAGUACGGUCGCAAGAUUAAACUCAAAGGAAUUGACGGGGCCCGCACAAGCGGUGGAGCAUGUGGUUCAAUUCGAAGCAACGCGCAGAACCUUACCAGCCCUUGACAUGUCCCGUAUGAGCUCCGGAGACGGAGUUCUUCAGUUCGGCUGGCGGGAACACAGGUGCUGCAUGGCUGUCGU
rnacentral:rRNA from 1 species